AUGAAGGUCCUCUGGAUUGUAAACUCUUUUAUUUGGGAAGAAACCCCCGAUUUCUAUUGGGGUUGACGGUACCAGAUGAAUAAGCACCGGCUAACUCCGUGC
rnacentral:rRNA from 1 species